UCAAUAAUCCCACAAAUAAUAUGAAAAUUAAAAAAAAUUAAAAAAAAUUAAAUUAACAAAUAAUAUGAAAAAUUAAAUAAUAUUAAAUUAACAAUUCUUAGUGAAAAUAAAAUAUUUUUAUUUUAUUUAUUUUGCACUGCCAAGUUAACAAAAUUACCGAUUUUAAAGCUUUUGUUGAAGUACUAACGGAAUAAAGCUUAGGGUACCAUUUUCUCAAAAAUCAAACAACCUGCCCUUAAUUGUUAAAUUGAGAAAGUUAUGGUACCUUUUUAUAUUUUUUCCUAAAAAUUAUAGUCCCCUAGUAUACAUAACAACAAUUUCAUUUACAUUUUCAACUUUUGGAUUUCAUGUUUGGCAAUUAGGCUGGUCAUUCCACCUGAUUCAUCUCAUGUAUGUAUGUGCUUGACAUCCCAGACUGUCAGUUUCCCUAAUGAGGAAUUAAAGAUCUACUAAACUUACAUGUGCAUUGUUCACCUAUAUCAAACUUUUGAAUGUGAACUUUUGAGUGAACAAGUUAUUCUGUAAAUUGAGGUUACUUGUGCUUGCCUUCUAUGGUUUCCUAUUGAGGUAUGAUUUAGUUCUCAUCUUGUGAUUUAUCUGACAAUCUAGUAUUGUCUUGAGGACACAUUCUGUAAAAAAAAUCUUUUGGUAUGUGUAUAGGUGGAAGACUGCACAAUAUAUCUUUAUUUAUUUAUUUUUUUUUGUUGUAGCAAUGAACCCAAUCUAUUCAAGUUAAUAUAGUGAGAGAAAACAUUUGCUGAUAUUGACAAAAAGUGCUGAUGCAGAACUCCAUGUCUUGCCACUUAGCUUAAAAAAAAAAAAAAAUGGAAAGUAGAAAACUUCCGGCCCUCUCAGGGGCUGUAAACAGGCUGCUGAGCUGGGCUGACUAGAAGCCCUGGCUUGGCUUGAAAUCUUUUGGGAUGAAGCAAGCCUGAGAUCAGUGCCUCAGCACAGUUUUUUUUACCACUGUGCCUGAGUUGAGCUUGAAGGUCAUUGGGGCUAUUGUAAAUCUCAAAUAGAGCUUGAUCUCAAUAGCCUGAAAUUUUUCGCCAAUUAGCUCUAUUUGAGAUCAAGCUAUUGUAAAGCACAACUAAAAAAUUUCAGGCCAAACAAUUUGAAAUUCGGGCUACCUACCUAAUUUACGGGCCUAUCCUCCUAUCUAUAACCAAAACCAAUUGCCGUGUCCAUAACUUCAUAUUCCAUUGCUGAAACCGAGUAUAGUCUAACAGAUACCCAAGCGAUGGAUAACUAUGGGGCCAAUAACCCUAUUGUGUUGCUAUCCAUAUGAUGCACAUAUGACUACUUUUCUAUUUGCCUCCAUAUGUGGAAGUAGAGGAAAAUGCUCAUGACUGUGUUUAAAUUUAUUUUAUUAGCAUUUAUUCUUUUGGGGGGAAACAAAUUUGGAAUGGAUGACUAAUUUCUAGUUAUUCUUGUUGUGUUGUGUUAUAUAAGUUGUGUCUGAUUUUGUUAACUGAAUAUGAUUUUCUCUAGGCAUAAUGGUGUUAUUUAUUUAUUUAUUUGAUUUUUCUCUUAUUUUAUUUUUUCAAUACUAGACAAGUUUGGUACGUGCAGUUGUUCAAGAAUGUGGUGCAUAUUUGAUUGUCAUCAGUCCACAUUCUGUUCAUAAAGGUUUUGCUGGGGAAAGUGAGAAAAGUUUGCGUGAGGCAUUUGCAGAGGCAGCAUCUCAUGCACAGCUAGGCAAGCCAUCCGUGAUUUUUAUAGAUGAAAUAGAUGCACUAUGUCCACGUCGUGAUUCAAGACGCGAGCAGGAUGUUCGUGUAGCUUCUCAACUAUUUACUUUGAUGGAUGCCAAUAAACACUCAUCUACAUCUUCAGCGCACGUUGUUGUGGUUGCAUCAACUAACAGGUUGUUUUCUCACCUUUUUAUUUAUCGAGGCCCUUUUCUAUUAUAUGGAAGCGGAAUUGAUCAGAUGAGAAAUUUUUUUUUUCCUAUGCUGAUCGUAGUUUUAAACAUAUAAAUGUGAUACGUAAAAAGCGGAUGCCUGUGUUGUACUUUUUGAAGUUUUUCUGCUGUGUAAUCAUAACUAUCAUAGAUGUUAAAUGGACUGGUUGCCAAGUUUAUUUUGUAAUUACUUAAGCUUAGCAUUAGAUUGUUUCCUGUGCAUCAUAGAUCAAUUUGUGAUGGCAUGUUGAAGGGAGGGCUACUAUGUAACUAUGUUCUUACGGGGGAAACCAACUGGAUACUUGGUGCAAAAAAAAUUCUGCACCACAUGGCAUUCUUAAAUGGCAUGUUCUGUUUCAUGUCGAGCCUUGCUCAAAUGCCUAGCGUAGUUGCUGGAGAACCCAUAGCUACAAGCUUCAAUGAAAGCUGUUUGAGUAUGACUAUCCCGUGUCUGCAUCAUAUAUGUUAGUUCAUAUGGUUUUUGUGUGCAGAGUUGAUGCAAUUGACCCUGCACUAAGAAGGUCAGGGCGUUUUGAUACUGAAAUAGAAGUUACUACACCUACGGAAGAGGAACGCUUUCAAAUUUUAAAGCUUUACACAAAGAAGCUUCCUUUGGAACCAACUGUUGACUUGCAAGCUAUUGCUGCAUCUUGCAAUGGUUAUGUUGGGGCUGAUCUAGAAGCUUUAUGCCGCGAGGCUACUAUGUCUGCUCUUAAGUCUUCAGAGGCCAAUGAAAAUGCUGGCGUGUUUUCCUUGACAAUGGAAGAUUGGAAACAUGCAAGAUCUGUGGUGGGCCCUAGCAUAACAAGAGGUGUUACUGUGGAAAUCCCCAAGGUAUCUUGGGCAGAUAUUGGUGGAUUAAAGGAUUUGAAGAAAAAGCUCCAACAGGCUGUUGAGUGGCCUAUUAAACAUUCUGCUGCAUUUGCAAGGAUGGGUAUAUCACCUAUUCGUGGUGUCCUUCUGCAUGGGCCUCCAGGAUGCUCAAAAACUACUCUAGCUAAAGCUGCAGCUAAUGCUGCCCAAGCUUCCUUUUUUUCUUUGAGGUUUGGCUAUCUUUUAGUUGCAAAUUGGAACCUCUUCUCACAAAUGAUCUUGGUUGUGAUGCAUUAGAAAAGGAAUGCUUACAUUCAUAGGGAUUUAUUUAAUCAUGAAAGUUUAGCAAUAUUUAGCCAUUUAUGAUUAUUGUUUGGAAGAACGGUGGGGGCUGUUUACUGAUGGCUGAGAUUUGGUGGUUGCUUAUCCCUAAUAGUUAGAUCAGAAAUCUUUGGGGCUGAGGAGAAAAGAAAUUAUGCUACUUUAUUAAAGUCUGUUGUGCUCCAACCUUGAACCGUUAAUCUAGCCCUUAAUAUCCUAUCUUGCAUCGACAGCUUGAUUGUUGGUCUUUGUCCCCCUUCUGGUUUUUCUUCUGACAAGAAGUGUUCAAUUAUUGCAAUGGUUAGUAUCAUAGUAUAGAAGUUCAUAAGCUGUUCUAGUUGGGGUGACAAUCUAUUGUGUGCUUAACAAUGCCAGUAUCAGUACAAAGGGGUAUAUGACCUAUUACUUCAACCAAAGUAAAAGAUUCUGGCAAAGGAUUUGCAUAAUCAGUAAACAACAAUAACAUUAUCUGAGAUCUGUGUAAUUGAGGUUUCUCUACCCAAUUCCAACAACAUUAUCUAAAAUUUGUGACUGAGGUUAUUUGAUUCUCUAGCCAAUUUUGUUUGCAUUUCAUAAUGCUGAUUCAGGUGUUUCAUAUCUAAUUGAUUUCAAUAGUACAAUUCUUUCUUUCACCUUGCUCCAUGGCCACUUCAAUUAAUCUAUGAAGAUAAAAAUGCUGCUUGACAUAUUAAUUACUUUUUGAUAGUUACAGGUCAAACUGCCUUCUUAAACUGCUUGUGAUUUGUAAUUCUAUAAUUGUGUAAAGCUUUAGUCACAUUUUUUUUUUUUUAAAUUUUAGUUGCUCCUUUUGUUACAUCUAAAGAUAUAAAAUAAGAGAGGAAGGGAUUGGGGGAAGAUGUUUCAUUUGUACUUCUUGAGUAUUUAGAAACUAUAAAUCAGUGGUGCAGAAUUAUAUUCAAUGUAUGUUGGAGAGGGUGAAGCAUUGUUGCGUAAUACAUUUCAAAGGGCUCGCCUUGCAGCGCCAAGCAUAAUUUUCUUUGAUGAGGCUGAUGUUGUUGCUGCUAAACGGGGUGGGAGUUCAAGUGACAGUAUUACAGUAGGAGAAAGGCUUCUAUCAACAUUAUUGACUGAAAUGGAUGGUCUGGAACAAGCCAAGGGAAUUCUUGUGUUAGCUGCCACAAAUCGUCCUUAUGCAAUUGAUGCUGCACUUUUGCGCCCUGGACGCUUUGAUUUGGUGCUAUAUGUUCCGCCUCCUGAUUUAGAGGCUCGGUAUGAGAUACUUUGUGUUCAUACACGAAACAUGAAAGUAGCCGAAGAUGUUGACCUGAGAAGAAUAGCAGAAGAUACUGAGCUCUUCACAGGGGCUGAACUGGAAGGUCUUUGUAGGGAAGCUGGAAUUGUAGCUCUGAGGGAAAACAUAUCUGCCACUGUUGUGUGCAACCAACAUUUCCAGACUGUAAAGGAGUCGCUAAAACCAGCAUUAACUCCUGCAGAUAUUGACAAGUAUUCAUUAUUUAUGAAGACCCAGAUUACAUCUUUUAGCCGGGAUAAAUCUGGUGCCAAAAGCACAAGCAAGAACAGGCACAAUUCAUUUGGUACAGUGCUUUCAGUUAAAAUUGGGAUUCUGAGCUUUGUAUUUCUCGUUGCUGCCAAGUAUUUCCUCAGGUACACAAACACAAUUAGACAUAAUAAUGUAUCGGCAACCUAAAAGGGCUGUCAUAGAGCUUACGCAUUAUAUUUUGUGGGCAUAUAAUAUUACCCUCUGUGUUUUCAGGUAUUUCUAUUCAGGUACUAAUUUAAAGAUAAAUAUGAUUUUGGGUAGCAGAAGUAUGGAUAAAUUUUUAAUAUAUCGGAUAUCUACUAUUUUUUUUUUCUUAGGCGUUUGUAAAAAGUGUAAUUAUUAAAUUAAAAGUUUUUUUUUUGUGAAUUAUUAGUUAAAUAUUUU
rnacentral:misc_RNA from 1 species